rnacentral:rRNA from 1 species
AACGAACGCUGGCGGCAGGCCUAACACAUGCAAGUCGAACGCCCUAGCAAUAGGGAGUGGCAGACGGGUGAGUAACGCGUGGGAACCUUCCCUGUGGUGCGGAAUAACUCGCCGAAAGGCGUGCUAAUACCGCAUAAGCCCGCAAGGGGAAAGAUUUAUCGCCAUAGGAUGGGCCCGCGUAGGAUUAGCUAGUUGGUGAGGUAAUGGCUCACCAAGGCGACGAUCCUUAGCNGGUUUGAGAGAAUGACCAGCCACACUGGGACUGAGACACGGCCCAGACUCCUACGGGAGGCAGCAGUGGGAAUCUUGGACAAUGGGCGCAAGCCUGAUCCAGCCAUGCCGCGUGAGUGACGAAGGCCUUC